rnacentral:rRNA from 1 species
AUGUGGCAGUUGCCCUUCACCGGACGUGGUUACUUUGAUCCUGAGUUGGACGCUUGGGUUGGGCUUUCCGCACAGCUGGACACUAUUGGCCACAUCUGCUCAUGUGAUGUGGUGUCUACCAACUCCGGCACAAGCCAUCAGCAGUGCCCAGCCAUGAAGGUCGGCAAGGAGAACUUGUUCAGCGAGUUCCCAGACGAGAGGCACAUAGGUGCCACCCUAGUCUAUACGGGUGGUGAGAGCAAACUCUGCCUCCUGGAGGUCAUCUACAUGCAAGCUGACUCGGCUGACAAGCCAACUGAAUCUGAUGAGAAGAAUGAGGACUUCGACGAUGGGUUGAAUAACACUUAUUCCAAUGAGACGACUGUUGGCGAGGCGGCUGAUUCUGAUGAGAUGAAUGAGUACUCUGCUGAUGAGGUGGACGAGGAGCAAGAUCAUAAACGAUUUUUGCGAUUGACGACCUUUUCACUUAGGUAUGAUAGGAAUGGAGACCUGAGAACUGGCAAUAGCCGGCGCGUUCGGUACUAUAGUUUGCCCCAAGAAGUUAAUGACUCGAUGCUUGAGUAUCCCGUGGCAUUUUGGAUGUAA